rnacentral:lncRNA from 1 species
CUGGAUCCCUGUUCUCUUCACCCGCCCCUGCCCCGAUGGCCUCCCGGCGCUGGAACUACGUGGCCAUGGUCCUGCUGACCCCUCUUGGCCUGCUGGGAGGUGCUGACCUUAAGGACUGGGUUGUGACCCUCCCAAAAGACCCUGUGGAUGGGCAGGAGGGCUCCUGCGUGACCCUUGAUUGCAGCUACAACAUCUCUCAGGGGAAGGACAUCGGAGCUGUGUUGUGGAAGCAGAACAAAGUCAUUGUCGCUUAUCACCCAAACGAGGCUUGGGUUGAUGCGGCCUUCAAAAACCGGACCAGGUCCUUCAGCAAACACCCAGAGGGCAACUGCUCUCUAUGGCUCAUGGGGCUGCGCCUAGGGGAUCAAGGUACCUACCAGCUCUGCACUGGGAAAGGGAAUGACCACAGUACUGAACAGCGGUGCAGCUCUGGAGCCGUGCAGCUCCGUGUGACUGCCCACCCAUGCCGUCCAACCCUGACAGUACAAGAAGAGGGGUCCCUCUCCUGCUCUGUGCAGCCUGCCUGCCAGACAUCCCCUGCCUGGGACAAAUGGGAUGACUCGGAGAUCCAGGCUGGGAUGAAGCAGAGCGUGCUGCUGGUGUCCCCAUCCCAGCUGGGUCCCAACAAGACACUGAGCUGCCAGGUGGCCGGACACAAAGACCAGUGCAGCCUCGAACAGAACAAGCCCCUACAACUAGGUGAGCUCUGCUACGAGGUCUCCCUCUCCCAGGAACUCGGGCACCUGGUUUCUCUCCCACUCUGGGGGCUGUGGGGUGAGUGCAGAGGGGCUGGGAGCUCAGACAUCUGGGUUCCCUGGGAAGGCAGUGGUGUUGGUGCGUUGGAGCACGCUGGGGCUCAGAGUCAAGGAACCAAGCUCCUUUGCUGUGACCCCAACUCCAGUGCCAGGCCCUGACCCCGCUCUUGCCGCUCACCCCCAGGGAAUCUGCACUUGGUGGUCUGGCUCCUGCACACAAACCAUGUGGUGCGGGAACAUGACUACGUCAACAUGCGCUGCCUGGAUGCCACUCGGAUACCCGUGGCCAGGUACCUCUGGUCCCAUGGGGACAAGUGGCUGCAGGAAAGAGGGCAGUAUUUGCGCAUCAGCGACACCAGCACUGCUCACGGAGGUGUCUAUACCUGCAGCAUCUGGGUCUCCGGCCCCGGGUGGGCGUUCCUGGUCUCCUCUGCCAACAAAUCCAUCACGGUUCAUU